CGUGUAGGCGGCCCGGUAAGUCCGCUGUGAAAGUCGGGGGCUCAACCCUCGAAUGCCGGUGGAUACUGUCGGGCUAGAGUACGGAAGAGGCGAGUGGAAUUCCUGGUGUAGCGGUGAAAUGCGCAGAUAUCAGGAGGAACACCAAUUGCGAAGGCAGCUCGCUGGGACGUUACUGACGCUGAGACGCGAAAGCGUGGGGAGCAAACA
rnacentral:rRNA from 1 species